rnacentral:rRNA from 1 species
AUUGAACGCUGGCGGCAGGCCUAACACAUGCAAGUCGAGCGGAUGACGGGAGCUUGCUCCUUGAUUCAGCGGCGGACGGGUGAGUAAUGCCUAGGAAUCUGCCUGGUAGUGGGGGACAACGUUUCGAAAGGAACGCUAAUACCGCAUACGUCCUACGGGAGAAAGCAGGGGACCUUCGGGCCUUGCGCUAUCAGAUGAGCCUAGGUCGGAUUAGCUAGUAGGUGAGGUAAUGGCUCACCUAGGCGACGAUCCGUAACUGGUCUGAGAGGAUGAUCAGUCACACUGGAACUGAGACACGGUCCAGACUCCUACGGGAGGCAGUAGUGGGGAAUAUUGGACAAUGGGCGAAAGCCUGAUCCAACCAUGCCGCGUGUGUGAAGAAGGUCUUCGGAUUGUAAAGCACUUUAAGUUGGGAGGAAGGGCAGCAAGCUAAUACCUUGCUGUUUUGACGUUACCGACAGAAUAAGCACCGGCUAACUCUGUGCCAGCCGCCGCGGUAACAC